rnacentral:rRNA from 1 species
UCGGGGUACACGAGUGGCGAACGGGUGAGUAACACGUGGGUAAUCUANNGCCCUGCACAUCGGGNUAAGCCUGGGAAAANCCUGGGUCUAAUACCGAAUAGGACCACAGAAGACAUGUCCUGUGGUGGAAAGCUUUUGCGGUGUGGGAUGGGCCCGCGGCCUAUCAGCUUGUUGGUGGGGUGAUUGGCCUACCAAGGCGGACGACGGGUAGCCGGCCUGAGAGGGUGUCCGGCCACACUGGGACUGAGAUACGGCCCAGACUCCUACGGGAGGCAGCAGUGGGGAAUAUUGCACAAUGGGCGAAAGCCUGAUGCAGCGACGCCGCGUGGGGGAUGACGGCCUUCGGGUUGUAAACCUCUUUCACCAUCGACGAAGGUCCGGGUUUUCUCGGGCUGACGGUAGGUGGAGAAGAAGCACCGGCCAACUACGUGCCAGCAGCCGCGGUAAUACGUAGGGUGCGAGCGUUGUCCGGAAUUACUGGGCGUAAAGAGCUCGUAGGUGGUUUGUCGCGUUGUUCGUGAAAUCUCACGGCUUAACUGUGAGCGUGCGGGCGAUACGGGCAGACUUGAGUACUGCAGGGGAGACUGGAAUUCCUGGUGUAGCGGUGGAAUGCGCAGAUAUCAGGAGGAACACCGGUGGCGAAGGCGGGUCUCUGGGCAGUAACUGACGCUGAGGAGCGAAAGCGUGGGGAGCGAACAGGAUUAGAUACCCUGGUAGUCCACGCCGUAAACGGUGGGUACUAGGUGUGGGUUUCCUUCCUUGGGAUCCGUGCCGUAGCUAACGCAUUAAGUACCCCGCCUGGGGAGUACGGCCGCAAGGCUAAAACUCAAAGAAAUUGACGGGGGCCCGCACAAGCGGCGGAGCAUGUGGAUUAAUUCGAUGCAACGCGAAGAACCUUACCUGGGUUUGACAUGCACAGGACGCCGGCAGAGAUGUCGGUUCCCUUGUGGCCUGUGUGCAGGUGGUGCAUGGCUGUCGUCAGCUCGUGUCGUGAGAUGUUGGGUUAAGUCCCGCAACGAGCGCAACCCUUGUCUCAUGUUGCCAGCGGGUAAUGCCGGGGACUCGUGAGAGACUGCCGGGGUCAACUCGGAGGAAGGUGGGGAUGACGUCAAGUCAUCAUGCCCCUUAUGUCCAGGGCUUCACACAUGCUACAAUGGCCGGUACAAAGGGCUGCGAUGCCGCGAGGUUAAGCGAAUCCUUUUAAAGCCGGUCUCAGUUCGGAUCGGGGUCUGCAACUCGACCCCGUGAAGUCGGAGUCGCUAGUAAUCGCAGAUCAGCAACGCUGCGGUGAAUACNUUNCCGGGCCUAUGUACACACCGCCCGUCACGUCAUGAAAGUC